GACGAACGCUGGCGGCGUGCUUAACACAUGCAAGUCGAACGGAAAGGCCCUGCUUUUGUGGGGUGCUCGAGUGGCGAACGGGUGAGUAACACGUGAGUAACCUGCCCUUGACUUUGGGAUAACUUCAGGAAACUGGGGCUAAUACCGGCUAGGAGCUCCUGCUGCAUGGUGGGGGUUGGAAAGUUUCGGCGGUUGGGGAUGGACUCGCGGCUUACCAGCUUGUUGGUGGGGUAGUGGCUUACCAAGGCUUUGACGGGUAGCCGGCCUGAGAGGGUGACCGGCCACAUUGGGACUGAGAUACGGCCCAGACUCCUACGGGAGGCAGCAGUGGGGAAUAUUGCACAAUGGGCGGAAGCCUGAUGCAGCAACGCCGCGUGCGGGAUGACGGCCUUCGGGUUGUAAACCGCUUUCGCCUGUGACGAAGCGUGAGUGACGGUAAUGGGUAAAGAAGCACCGGCUAACUACGUG
rnacentral:rRNA from 1 species